CGAAGAAUGAAUCCUCUCAAAGUUUUAAUUAACCAUGAGAUGGCGCUGUGACUAGAGACGAAAGAUGGAGGAAGAGAAGAGGUGUUCUCUUUUUUCGCUCAGCACGUGCAGCGAUUUGCUCAGCAGCCAGGGAGCUGGAAGGGGAGGGGCUGGGAGUCCAACCGGAAUUCCGCGGUGCGCGCGCCUUCAUAUCCGGGCAUCGUCUGUGUCCAGCCCAUUCCCUGACGUCUCUGACAACUGGAAGCGGAAGUGAAAAAUGGGUAUCCCUGCUACCUCUUAGCAACGCGAGGGGUCAUGUGACACAAACGUUGACUCCAGUAGAGGAAGGGACGGUAGCGGCCAGUACUGGAGCUCUUGCCCCCUCGAUUGCCCGGCCGGGGAUCCGAGCCGAACUGUCAUCGUCAGAAUGUCGGGCAAAGACCGGAUCGAAAUCUUUCCCUCGCGAAUGUAAGUAAAAGAACGAGAGGAGUGGCGCUCUCGGGUUCAGGAACGCCUGCCUGGAGCGUGAUCCCUCCGUACCCUGGACCACCAGUGAGGUUCCUAGUUUCCCGGCCUAUCCUUUGCUCUCUUCCAGGGUCUUGUCUUGAACCUAGGAUUUUCCUGGGUGAACCAGACAGGACAGGGAGAUAGGAAGAGGCGCCGGUCCUGCUGGCUUCUGUGGAGAGAUCACCGUUUAGCGGCGCGACGGAAAAGUCGAGGGGGUUUGUUAAUUACAAGGGACGUUUACCGCCACGGGAAGCAUAUAGAAGGUCCCUUAGUCAAAGUGGGGAUUGAUUCGAGUCGCCCUAGCUUGGACGUCGGAUUCAAUCUUGGAUUCCCUUACUCAUUUUCCAAGAUCCUGAAGUGUCAGCGGCGGUUAGGUCGGUAUCUCUGCGUUUCUGAGGCAGUCCUCUUGCUAUUACCACUGCACCCUUUUAAAAGAUCUCUGUUAAGACUGCUCAUUACAUUGUUAAGAGGAUAUUUGUUUACUACAUAUCGUUCUUUCCCAUCAGCCUGGGGGCUUUAUCUAGGAUGAGAGAGCGUCUUGAUUAAAUCGUCCAUAAAGAUAAUCUACAGAGAAUGUUCCUUGAACCAACCCAUGCUUUGAAAUCUGUUCAGUCCUGUACUGCCUUUUCUAUUGCCCUGAAAUCGUGGUCACAUCGUUGGCCAGUUGUAAUGAAAGUUUUAAAGUUUUCACAAAUGUGCUUAACAACUUGUGAGAAUAAAUAUUGUUCUUGUUUGUGC